UACGUAGGGUGCAAGCGUUGUCCGGAAUUAUUGGGCGUAAAGAGCUCGUAGGCGGUCUGUCGCGUCUGCUGUGAAAAUCCAGGGCUCAACCCUGGACCUGCAGUGGGUACGGGCAGACUAGAGUGCGGUAGGGGAGAUCGGAAUUCCUGGUGUAGCGGUGAAAUGCGCAGAUAUCAGGAGGAACACCGGUGGCGAAGGCGGUUCUCUGGGCAUUACCUGACGCUGAGGAGCGAAAGUGUGGGGAGCGAACGGG
rnacentral:rRNA from 1 species